UGAUAAUUUAAAAAUGUAUCAUCAAUAUCGUUCUUAUUAAUAGUAGUGUAAAUAAAAUUAUCAUCGCACACACUCGCGCACCAUCUCGCAAUUUACGAGCAGUCGUUCAGUGUCCUUGCAAAUACCGUACAUAUUUGGCACAAAAAGAUUUAUCAGAAUCACGGUACUUUUCAGCAAGAAACGAGACAUCGGGUUCGACCGAGCAUUCGCGAGUUAAUGGAAAAUCUGUUAUCAGUUCAUUGCGCGAUUAAUGUAUUCUCUCCCUACUUGACGCAAUGAGGGCCGUUAUCAGAAUUGAAUAAUAUUGAUUCGCCUUAUCAAGAGCGACGGCCAGGCAAGGCUCUCACGCAAAACUCCACCCACCGUCGUCGUAAUAUUCGUGCCACUUGUCGCCCGUUAAAUAAGAACAUCAUAUCAACAUCAUUCGCGAGGAUUAAACCGUUCGGGCAAAAAGAAGAGGAUGCGAGCAGAUGAAAGAAGCGACGAAUAACGGAAUGGAACGGAUCUGAUGAAAACAAUGUCCAUAUUCAUUAUCAUCGAGUUCGUAAAAGCGUACAUCGUAGUCAGAAGGUGUGCGGAAGGAAGAAAGCUACCCUAUUCUCUGUGGCGGUUCAAAAAUAUUUGCGAAUAUUGGACACAUGCCGUGUGAAGAGAUUAAUAUCGGCAACGGAGAGAUCAAUUUCUGACGGACGAAAUGGAAGGCUGCGUGAAAAUAAAGUACAUUGAGGAGAGUGCGAAGGGGCGCACAAACGGUCCCCCUGCCUCGACUUCCUGCCAAUUGCGGACAAUUUGUGGUCAUCUAUGAUCUCCCCGCUCGUCGUCGCGCGUCGUCGUCGUGUAAAAUGCAUGUGGACGAUGCCUAAAUGUAAAAGUUAACACGGCCCGGUUCUCCGUCCGUCUCUUUCUCCUUUUUUUAUGUGCUAUCGCGUUAAUGCGUCCUACACAUUCAACUUCCCACGUGAUGUAAUCGAGGAAAGGAGCACGCGCGUCUCAUUAUCAAUUUUUCGGCAAUGGCAUAUAUGUGUAAGAGC